rnacentral:rRNA from 1 species
UACGUAGGUCCCGAGCGUUGUCCGGAUUUAUUGGGCGUAAAGCGAGCGCAGGUGGUUUGUUAAGUCUGGUGUAAAAGGCAGUGGCUCAACCAUUGUAUGCAUUGGAAACUGGUAGACUUGAGUGCAGGAGAGGAGAGUGGAAUUCCAUGUGUAGCGGUGAAAUGCGUAGAUAUAUGGAGGAACACCGGUGGCGAAAGCGGCUCUCUGGCCUGUAACUGACACUGAAGCUCGAAAGCGUGGGGAGCAAACAGG